rnacentral:pre_miRNA from 1 species
CUUAUACUCCCUCCGUCCCAAAAUUCUUGUCUUAGAUUUAUCUAGAUAUAAAUGUGUUUAGUCAUGUUUUAAUUUUUGAUACAUCUAUUUUUAAACAAACCUAAGACAAGAAUUUGGGACGGAGGAAGUAUUUA